rnacentral:lncRNA from 1 species
AGUUUCUAUCAAGCUGAAGAAGUGAUGUGGGCAAUAGGAGGGACGGCUUUGGUGACCUGGGGCCUCACUUUGUUUGCGCUACAGACAAAAAUCGAUUUCACCAGCUUCUCUGCCAUUCUCUGGGCUGUAUUUCUCAUGCUACUCCUCUAUGGAACUCUUUAUUUCUUUAUGCCCUCCUAUAUGUCCAAGAAAUCUCUCUCCUCCAAGUUUGAUGGCAUUCUGACUUUGGGGGAUGAUGAGAUGCCAGAUACAUGAGGUCAGUGGAAGACAGAUCAUGAAUACCUUACAGAGGGGUUUGAAAUGUUUUCAGUUCCCCUGAGGCAUACAGUGAGACCUCACCUGAGCAUGCAAAAGGAGAGAAGCCCCCUAGAUCAGGCUUCACCUAAGCGUAGACACGGCCUUUUGUUCUGCAUCUCAAUGAUGACAACUUGGGAGGAAGGCUUGGGAGCAGUCCUGCACCAAGUUGCAUUUGCCAUCAAAACUUUAAGUGACAGAUGAGACCCAGUAUUCCACCCACAAUCUGGAACUUCUGACUUUGAAGGGAACUCUCCCUGAGACUUUUAAAGACUCCUCAGUCUUUUGGAACAGAGUUCCAAAUAUGAACUGUAACAAUUCAUUGAUUUAUAUUUUGACCAGUGCCAAGUUGGAUACUGUUUGCCAGGGAUGGCUGGCCAUGCUAGCUAACUCUGAGUUCAGCAUUCACUGCUGACUAGAAAGGACUAACAUGGAUGCAGAUACACUGUCUGGAAGUCCACAGGAUGCUGUGGAGAAAGGGAUACACAAUCACCCAAAGCCACAUUUCUUUGUUUUAUUUUAAAUAAGAAGUUUAUUUAAACAACAAGAUGUUUGACUUGAAGGAAAACUAUCUAGGAUCAAUUUCUUUAUAGUAAUUUAUUCCUACUGAGAGACAGAGAUUGCCCUACAUGUAACAGCUACGUCCAAAAAAGUUAUAAAAUUGUCCUUGGUUUUACAAUGAUAAAAGAAAAACAUUGGAAUUAUCCAAUAAAACAAGAUAUGCAAG